GACGAACGCUGGCGGCGUGCUUAACACAUGCAAGUCGAACGGUGAAAGCGGAGCUUGCUCCGCUGGAUCAGUGGCGAACGGGUGAGUAACACGUGGGCAACCUGCCCUUCACUUCGGGAUAACUCCGGGAAACCGGGGCUAAUACCGGAUAUGACCUCUGCGGGCAUCCGCGGAGGUGGAAAGUUGUUCGGUGAAGGAUGGGCCCGCGGCCUAUCAGCUUGUUGGUGAGGUAGUGGCUCACCAAGGCGACGACGGGUAGCCGGCGUGAGAGGGGGACCGGCCACACUGGGACGGAGACACGGCCCAGACUCCUACGGGAGGCAGCAGUGGGGAAUAUUGCGCGAUGGGCGAAAGCCUGACGCAGCGACGCCGCGUGCGGGAUGACGGCCUUCGGGUUGUAAACCGCUUUCAGCAGGGAAGAAGCCGCAAGGUGACGGUACCUGCAGAAGAAGCACCGGCUAACUACGUGCCAGCCGCCGCCGUAA
rnacentral:rRNA from 1 species